GCCAGGAGUGAGGACAUGCACUAGGAAAUACAGCACCAAAGGGGGAAGAAAAAAGCAUGGUAGUGAAAAUUACUCUCCAAGAGGGGCAAGUGGAUGAAAGGACCACGUAGAAAAGCAUGUCUGAAGCAUGGGGAUUGCAGAGUGACCAGAGGAGGGAGAGCCAAAAGCAAAACCUAGGCACAUGAAGAGUGCUUGGGAUGCUGGUGUUGUCCCAUGGGUUUGCCUCAUCACUUCUGUCCUGACAGCAUCCACAGUUUGCAG